rnacentral:SRP_RNA from 1 species
GCUGGGCAUGGUGGCGUGUGCCUGUAAUCCCAGCUACUCAGGAGGCUGAGGCAGGAGAAUCGCUUGAAUCAGGGAGGCGGAGGUUGCAGUGAGCCGAGAUCGUGCCACUGCACUCUAGCCUUGGCUACAGAGUGAGACUCCGUCUCAA